rnacentral:rRNA from 1 species
GUGACAGGUGGUGCAUGGUUGUCGUCAGCUCGUGUCGUGAGAUGUUGGGUUAAGUCCCGCAACGAGCGCAACCCUUAAGCUUAGUUGCCAUCAUUAAGUUGGGCACUCUAAGUUGACUGCCGGUGACAAACCGGAGGAAGGUGGGGAUGACGUCAAAUCAUCAUGCCCCUUAUGAUUUGGGCUACACACGUGCUACAAUGGACAAUACAAAGGGCAGCUAAACCGCGAGGUCAAGCAAAUCCCAUAAAGUUGUUCUCAGUUCGGAUUGUAGUCUGCAACUCGACUACAUGAAGCUGGAAUCGCUAGUAAUCGUAGAUCAGCAUGCUACGGUGAAUACGUUCCCGGGUCUUGUACACACCGCCCGUCACACCACGAGAGUUUGUAACACCCGAAGCCGGUGGAGUAACC